AAGACAUCUAGGGCCCUAACUGCCGUCUUUCUUAGUCUUAGUCAUGUACCUCUCUUGAGCAUCUUUUUGCUAUUAACCCGGUUCAGUUUCGUGCAAUCUGAUGCCAAUAUGAUAGCCCAAACUUGCAAGCAGACGCCAUUUUACAACCUAUGUGUAAGCUCUCUCAACUCAGACCCUAGUAGCUCCAAAGCAGACGUUCGUAGGCUAGCCCUUAUAAUGGUUAAUAAAGUAAAGGCAAAAGCAACCAUUUCGCUACACUUGAUCAACCAGCUGAGUCAGAAGAGCCUAGGGCUAAAGAAUCCCUUGAGUUAUUGUGCUGACAAUUACGAUGCAAUUUUAAGUGCAGAUAUACCAGAAGCCCUUGAAGCUUUGCAGAAAGGUGACCCCAAGUUUGCACAAGAUGGUGUAAAGGAUGCUGCAAAUGAAGCCAAUUUAUGUGAAGCUAAAUUCCAUGGGAAAUCUCCCCUCACUAAAUUCAACAAAGUUGUGCAUGAUACUUCGGCUAUUGCUGCUCCAGCAAUUGCAUUGAUAUAUAUAUAUACAAUUAUCUUUUUUUCUUCAAUAAUGCUUGUUUAGAAUAAUAAAUCUUUCUAUUAGGGCCUUUGAAUUUCAUUUGGGUUGGUUUUCAUGUGGGCUAUUUCUGCUUAAAACAGUGGUUUAACAUAGGACAAAUUUUCCCCCGCUACACCUCAAACGAAAGUUGUCAAGUGUCAUCAUCAAAGUGUACGAGGAUAGGAACACUGUUGCUGAACAUGCGUUCUAUUUAUAGAUCAAAUAUGCAAGAAAAAACCCUUUUAUGAUCUCGGUGUCUCUGUCUCGUCUCGAAACCCUUAAAAUCCCAUCACACAUGUCAAAGCUCUGGCCUCUACAAUGCCUAAUCUUGUUCUGUCCAGUGCAUCUGAUAUGUUGAGCUAUAUUCAAUAACUAAUCAAGCAAGGAGCAGACAGUCAGUUGCAGAAACCUUUAGCCAAUUUGUGCUGAAUUGUAUAUUCCAGGUGUGAAGUACAAUCUUCCUCAAGCCAUUAAUUCUUUGAUGAGAGGUAAGUUUGGAUUCACCAGCAAUUUAUUAUCUGAUGCAGCAAGGGAACUUCUCUGCUUCAAAUCAAUCCCCAUCCAAGAUUAUCAUGAUAAAGCAAUUUCAUGUUUCUUUCAUCUUUUCUCUAUCGCUCAUCUUUGCUUAUGUCCUCUUGGAACGUGUAUUCUUUUUAUUCUUUGAGAGAGAACCCCUUCAAGAAUGAAAACCAAAAGCAAGAUCCUUUUUUUCAGGAUCACCAUUUUUCAUCUUCAUAUUGUUUUUUUCCCAUUUGAUUACUGGUUAUAUGUUUGUCUUGAAUCAAAA
rnacentral:misc_RNA from 1 species